rnacentral:ncRNA from 1 species
AUUGGUGUUUCACCAGUGCAUAAAAGGGAAUCAGGUGAGAAUCCUGAGCAGUACCCGCUACUGUCAUCUCCAUUAUGGAAAGUCCAAACAAAGCCACUGACGCAGCGCUUCGCUAGUGAAUAGUGAAGAGUGAAUAGUGAAAAGCGUUGGGAAGGCGGACUUUUCGGAGAGAGCCAGGAGACCUGCCACGUCAA